rnacentral:rRNA from 1 species
UACGUAGGUCCCGAGCGUUAUCCGGAAUUAUUGGGCGUAAAGAGCAUGUAGGCGGUUAAUUAAGUCUGGUGUGAAAUCUAGUGGCUCAACCACUAAAUUGCAUUGGAAACUGAUUAACUAGAAUACUGGAGAGGCAAGUGGAAUUCCAUGUGUAGCGGUGGAAUGCGUAGAUAUAUGGAGGAACACCAAUGGCGAAGGCAGCUUGCUGGACAGAGAUUGACGCUGAGAUGCGAAAGUGUGGGGAGCAAACAGG